UAUUCAAACCGUAUUUUACCGAUAUUGAUGAGUACAAGGGGCAACCCAACCACCACACUUGCAAGUUCAGGAUGAACACAGAGUUUGAUCUUCCUUUUUCUGAAACAAAUCCUAAGCAAAUACUAAGUGCGAGUCCAGUGAGAAUUUGUUGCUGAUACUAUUGGUGAUUUGGUGGUGCGAAUGGUGCUGGAUACACUACUUGAUGUGGGUGUGAACAAGCAAGAACUUGGAGAUCAAAGCUCUACAAUCCUAGUUUAUGCCGCCUAUGCUACUGUCUCUGCCUUUGCAUAUAGGUGUGGUUAUAGGCACCCUGCAGAGCUCAAAUCAAAAGAAACAAAGUUGAGGUUGAUUGAAGAUUCUAUCAUAGAGCUCUCAGCAAAGCUUCAACAAAAAGAAGAGGAAUUGGAUUCAGCUCGACAACAUGUGAAACAUUGUGCCAGAAAAAUUGAAUCAAAAGAGGAGGAGCUCAAUAAAAUCAAAGGAAGAAUAAACACAUAUGAUACAGAGCUUGAAUCAAGAGAGAGGGAGUUCAAUGCCAUUCAACUGUCCAUUGAAGACCGGAGUGAGGAACUUAAAGGGAAGGAGAGGCAACUGAAACCAGGCCAACUAUCGAUGGGAGAAUGGGAGAAAGAGCUGAAAGCAAUGAAGGAACAGAAAUAUCCCAUCCAAAAAUCAGUUGUGGAAUGCUCUGAGGAGCUCCAAUCAAAAGAGAAGAACCUUAUUUUGGCAAGAGAAUCUCUCAGAGAAUUUUGUGAUAAUCUCAAAUCGAUGAAGGUGCGGAUGGAUUCAAUUCAACGCACUGGUUAUGAUUAUAGGGUAUUGAAGACAAUGCAACUUAUCCAGCAAUUUAACCUGAGCUUAAUGCAACCUCAAAAAAUUACUGUCUCUCCCCUGAAGUCUUUUGACUUUAACAUGUAGCAAGCAUCUCAACAGAAAACCAUAUUCAGCAUAAUUCCCAUUCAUAUUUUUUGAAACAAUACACUAAUAUUCCAUAAAAAUUCAAGAGAGAUCACAAAUAAUGGAAAUCCGAUCAGGCCAUUUACGUGCCAUGAAGAUAGUGAAGGAAAUAAGAGGCCAUUUUGCAUGCAUAAACCUUUAUUUACCUGCUUAAAUAUGCAGCCAUACUAUUACCAUUCACAUAUAUUCGAUAUAUAUGCAAGCUGCUAAGUAACAAUGAUCUUAAGGUCCAUCAUGAAUAGCAGCAGCCCUGGUGGGGAAUGAUACCGAGGGGAUAGAAGAUGGAGGGCUUGGCGCUGAAGGGAUAGUUGGUGGAAGUGGAGGCAACCUGACAAGUGGUGGAUCAGGCAAAUUAGGAGGAAAUGUAAAGCUGAGAAUAUUACGUGUUGGUGGCAGGAGAUGACAAACUGCCACAGCAACAUCAAUGCUUGAAAAUGACAGCUUGAUCAUGAACAUAGCCAAAAUCAGUAAGCGAGAAGAUGCCAUGGUAUAAUAAUAUAAGAAUAAGACAUCAGUGACCUCUGACCUAGAACAAUCAGGCAAGAAAAGCAAUAGAGGCUUAUGGGGUGUGCAAACUCUGACCUUUCUUUUGCUAUUUAUAAUCGAGGACAUUGAUUCACUGUGUAAAUGAAGGGCAGGUUCACUGUGUAAAUGAAGGGCAGGAUGUAAGCUGCUGCAUUUGACGAGUUUUGUUGCAUGUGCUUGGCUAAAACUGAAGUGCUUCGAAAGCAGAAAUCAAGCAACUGUUAUGUCUCAAAAUUUUGAAUAAAGUUACACAAAUAAUAGUUUCAGUCCACUGACGUUCCAUUUUGAUUGCUAUCUGUGGUCAUGGAAAUUUGGUCCGAGGAUGUUAAUUCGAGGCAGUAAGAUGUUUGGUUAAGAUUAGUACUGCUCUCAUUUCAGUCUUCAUGUGAAGUGGCUGCUAAUGUUGUUGUAGUCUUCAUACCUGUAGCUAAAUAGUUUGAUAGAUUCAGAUAUGUGUCAAAAAUUAGAUACAAAAACAAAACUACACAACUACUCUUUCUUUUCUUCUAUUAAUUUUUUUUCUUACAUUGAUGUAGUUAGCUUCUGUUUGGGGCCAAUACAUUCUAUUUUAGGAACUGUAAUUAAUGAUGUGUUCAAUAUGGUAUGUCAGUGAUCUAUUAGUUUGUUCCAUGUAACCAGCUCAUUAUUUGAAUGAAAAAAUUAUUCAAGUACUUAAUGAUUUUUCCUCAUACGAAGUCCUUUCUGGUUCUCAAACAUGGAUGAUAUCAAUCAUGAUUUUCCUUUCUUAGAAAAAAUGAAUUUCUGGUUCUCAAUAUGAUAUGUCGACGAUCUAUUAGUUUGUUCCAUGUAACUAGAUCAUUAUUUGAUUGGAAAAAUUGUUCAAGUCCUUAAUGAUUUUUCCUUAUACGAAGUCCUUUCUGGUUCUCAAACAUGAAAGAUAUCAAUCAUGAUUUUCCUUAGAAAAAAUGAAUUUCUGGUUCUCAAUAUGAUAUGUCGACGAUCUAUUAGUUUGUUCCAUGUAACUAGAUCAUUAUUUGAUUGGAAAAAUUAUUCAAGUCCUUAAUGAUUUUUCCUUAUACCAAUUCCUUUCUGGUUCUCAAACAUGGAUGAUAUGAAUCAUGAUUUUCCUUUCUUAGAAAAAAAUGAAUUUUUGAUUCGAUAUUUUAGGAAUCGAUGAAGAAGGGCGUCAACAGAAGCUUAUUAAGGAAAGGAUUAGAUGUUGUCCAAUUGUCAGUCACAUAGAUUUGCUGCUGAUUUCUUUCCCUUAUCUGUCAGAAAUGUUAAGAGAAGGGUAUCUUUGCUACAGCUGAUUAUACACAAUGAUGCUGGUUGAGACCUUCUUGUGGUUUAUCUUAUCUUAGUUUUUUUGCAGAGGAUGCUGCCAGGAUAAAAUAUGGGUAUUACAAAGGUUUCACGUAUAUCCUUACCCAGUUAACCUGGUUUUGCUGGAAUGCUGAAACAACGGAGACUCAGGUUAAUUUGUUCCUGUGGAGCAGCCGUGGUGGGGAAUGACACUAUGGAGGGCUUGGCGCUGAAGGGAUAUUUGGUGGAAGUGGAGGCAAUCUGACAAGCGGUGGAUCAGGUAAAUUAGGAGGAACUAUUAAGCCAGGAAUAUUACGCGUUGGAGCCAGGAGAUGGCGAGCUGCCAUGGAAAAUAACAGUGUGAUCAUGAACAUAGAGAAAAUCAGUAAACAAGAAGAUGCUAUAGUAUAAUAAUAUAAGAACAAGAAAUCAGUGACCUCUGACCUAGAACAAUCAGACAAGGAAAGCAAUAGAGGCUUAUGGGCGUGUGGAAACAGUGAUCUUUCAUUUGUUAUUUAUAGUUGUGGGCAUUGAUUCAGCGUGUAAAUGCAGUGUGGUAAGCUGCUGCAUUUGGUGAGUUUUGUUGCUUGUGCUUUGCUAAAACUCGAGCACUUCAAAAGCUGAAAUCAGGCAACCAGUACAUAUUACUCCAGUUGCUGUUAAAUUUUUGUCUCACUGCCUUCAAAUGCAGUUGUAGUCAUCACAUGAGUCUACCUAAUUUGUUUGGUAGAUGCAGGUAUGUCUCAAAAUUUCGAAUAAAGUUACACAAAUAAUAGUUUCAGUCCACUGACGUUCCAUAUUGAUUGCUAUCUGUGGUCAUGGAAAUUUGGUCCGAGGAUGUUAAUUCGAGGCAGUAAGAUGUCAGUAUUUGGUUAAGAUUUGUACUGCUCUCAAUUCAGUUUCAUGUGAAGGCUGCAAAUAUUGUUGUAGUCUUCAUAACUGUAGCUAAAUAGUUUGAUAGAUUCAGAUGUGUCAAAAAUUAGAUGCAAAAAUAAAACUAUACAACUACCCUUUCCUUUCUUCUACUAAUUUUUUUCUCACAUUUAUGUAGUUAGCUUCUGUUUGGGGCCAUUACAUUCUGUUUUAGGGACUGUAAUUAAUGAUGUGUACAAUAUGAUAUGUCGGCGAUCUAUUAGUUUGUUCCAUGUAACCAGAUCAUUAUCUGAUUGAAAGAAUUAUUCAAGUCCUUAAUGAUUUUUCCUUAUACCAAGUCCUUUAUGAUUCUUCAACAGGGAUGAUAUCAAUUAUGAUUUUCCUUUCUUAGAAAAAAAUCAUUCUUCGAGUCAAUAUUUUAGGAAUCAAUGAAGUAGGGCAUCAAUGGAAGCUUAUUCAGGAAAGAGUUAGAUGUUGAAUUGUCAGUCACAGUGUUUUGCUGCUUAUUUCUUUUCCAUAUCUGUCAGAAAUGUUAAAGAGUAGGGUAUCUUUGCUACAGCUGAUCAUUCACAAUGAUGCUGGUUGAGAUCUUGUGGUUUAUCUUAGUUUUUUUGUUAGCAGAGGAUGCUGCCAGCAUAAAAUAUGGGUAUUACAAAGGUUUCAUGUAUAUUCUUAUCCGGUUAACCUAGUUUUGCUGUAAUGCUGAAACUACGGAGACUCAGGUUGCUGUGGAGCAUAUUUUGCAUCAAACUCUGCUACAGAAAAUGCAGAUUUCUGUUCAGACCGAAAAGUUCAUAUCGCAACCCGGUAUAAAGGACAGUCAAGGAUAUUGUUUGAAACAAGCAUCUCAACAGAAAACCAUAUUAAGCAUAACUCCAUUCAUAUUACUUGAAACAGUAUACCAACAUUUUUUUCAUAUGAAAAUUUAAGAGAGAACACAAGUAACUGAAAUCCUCGGCGGUUCUCAUGCCAUGACAAAUAUAGAAGGAAAUAAGAGGCCAUUUUGCAUGCAUGAACUUUUAUUUACGUACUUAUAUGUGAAGCCAUACUAUUACCAUUUACAUAUAUUCCAUAUAUAUGCUGGCUUCGAAGUAACAAUGAUCUUAAGGUCCAUUACGAACAGCAGCAGCCGUGAUGGGGAAUGACACUAUGGAGGGCUUGGCACUGAAGGGAUAAUUGGUGGAAGUAGAGGCAACCUGACAAGUGGUGGAUCAGGCUAAUUAGGAGGAACUGUAAAGCCAGGAAUAUUACGGUAAAUACAGUGUGAUCAUGAACAUAGUCGUUUACAUUGAUUCAGCGUGUAAAUGCAGUGCGGUAAGCUUCUGCAUUUGGUGAGUUUUGUUGCAUGUGCUGGCCAAAACUUAGGAACUUCAAAAGCUGAAUUCAGGCAGCUAGUACAUAUCACUCCAGCCGCUGUUAAAUUUUAAGAGUAGGGCAUCUUAGUACAGCUGGUUAUUCACAAUGAUGGUUGAGGCCUUAUUGUUGUUUUAUUUUAUUACGUAGCAGAGGAUGCUGCCAGCAUAAAUUGGGCAUUACAAAGUAUUCGCAGACA